rnacentral:lncRNA from 1 species
CCGGGCGACCGUGGCGUUGCCAGCAGCCAGUGGGCCCUGCUCGCUGCGCAAGGGGUGACGGCCAAUCUCCGGCAACAACUGGGCCCAGACCACGGUUAAAAAGCAUCAGGUUAUCAUCAUGGAUCUCAUCGGUAUCAUAUACGCUCUAGGCUGGGCAAGCUUCACGUUGUGGGCCCCGCAACGCGUGCUCUGGGUGAUUGGCUUCCAAAGGAGUGGCGUGAGGUCAAGAUCCGUCGCAGCGUUCCUGCAGUCGCAUUACAAAGGCGCUAUACCCAAGAAGGGAUACUUCGCCAUGAUGCAGCAGUUCGCCGUGACAGGAAUUCCAUGGUUCGUCGAGAUCCCGGCCGCCGGCUUGGUAGCGUUCGUCAGUUACACCGUACGGACUGCGUCUUAGGGGCUUCGCUGAGCCGAUGAAGUGUAUUGACGAUCUUGGGUCCUUCCUGGCGAUACGGAACCACGACAAGCAUCAGGCAGUCGUGUACACGUUCCGCUUCUGAUAAAUUAAACU